AGAAAAAUAUCUCCUCCCACAGUUAACCUUUCUACAAUAGAGUCACUGCUGUGUACACUAAGUUUACAAUACUCAAUCAUGUACUCUCCCUGUCUCCCAUUUAUAUACAAAUACUCUCUAAUAAUAAGCUAUAAGCUGGUAGAAAUCUAUCUGUUUGGUAGCUAGAAAUCUAUCCCUGUAUUCUCCCAUUUAUAAACAAAUGCUCAUAGCUUAAUUUUACGAUUUUGACAAGUGUUGCGAAAUCUAUCUGAGUUUAAACAAAAACAUGUUUACAAGCAAGUUAGCUCAAUUUUGGUAGCUA
rnacentral:lncRNA from 1 species